UAGGGAAUUUUGCACAAUGGGCGAAAGCCUGAUGCAGCAAUGCCGCGUGAGUGAAGAAGGCUCUUGGGUUGUAAAGCUCUUUCGGCUGGAAAGAAGGGGUCACUUGCGAACAGCCUGUGAUUCUGACGGUACCAGAAGAAGAAGGACCUGCUAACUACGUGCCAGCAGCAGCGGUAAUACGUAGGGUCCAAGCGUUGUUCGGAAUUACUGGGCGUAAAGCGUGCGCAGGCGGCUUUGCAAGACAGAUGUGAAAUCCCCGGGCUCAACCUGGGAACUGCAUUUGUGACUGCAUGGCUAGAGUACGGUAGAGGGGGAUGGAAUUCCGCGUGUAGCAGUGAAAUGCGUAGAUAUGCGGAGGAACACCGAUGGCGAAGGCAAUCCCCUGGACCUGUACUGACGCUCAUGCACGAAAGCGUGGGGAGCAAA
rnacentral:rRNA from 1 species